CGGGGAAUUCGAUUCAGGCCUAACACAUGCAAGUCGAACGGCAGCAUGGAGAGCUUGCUCUCUGAUGGCGAGUGGCGAACGGGUGAGUAAUGCAUCGGAACGUACCGUGUAAUGGGGGAUAACGUAGCGAAAGUUACGCUAAUACCGCAUACGACCUGAGGGUGAAAGCAGGGGAUCGCAAGACCUUGCGUUAUACGAGCGGCCGAUGUCAGAUUAGCUAGUUGGUGAGGUAAAGGCUCACCAAGGCGACGAUCUGUAGCGGGUCUGAGAGGAUGAUCCGCCACACUGGGACUGAGACACGGCCCAGACUCCUACGGGAGGCAGCAGUGGGGAAUUUUGGACAAUGGGGGCAACCCUGAUCCAUCAAGGCCGCGUGAGUGAAGAAGGCCUUCGGGUGUAAAUCUAAGAGGCCGGGAAGAAAUCGCACAGGCUAAUACUCU
rnacentral:rRNA from 1 species